rnacentral:lncRNA from 10 species
UUUCAUCAGCCUCACUUCUAUGAACUCUCAGAGCUGAUUACCAACUCCUACCACUGUUAACCCUCAUCCAGGAACAAGCUUAUGUCUUUAACAUUCUGAGUGGGCUUCAGCAUCCUUGCAUAUGUUCAAUUCUUAAAAACCUGUUGAAAUAAAAGAUCAGGAGACAUAGGAAGGAUGCCAGAAGAGAGCGUGGCCUCACGUGUACCAGCUCUCUGCUCUCCUUUGCCUUGGGACGUUCCAUCCCUGGAAGUUUCCCUGCCCACAUCUUUGUAGAGAGUCCAUUCUCCAAGCUUCAGUGUGUCAUCUGUGAGGACCGUGACCCACCUGGUACAUCGCCUCAGGGCAUUCAUUUCAGGCUCCUUCUAAAUGGCCAAGUUUUCAAGAUUGUUUUGGCUCUAGCAAAACAAGUUGGAACAUUCACAUCAUCCAGUAAACCUCAGGUUCUCCUCCUGCCUUUUGCUAAGUAUAUGUCUUGAUGACAAGCCUUCUGCUGAUGAGCUGUGUUUCUGGACCGAUCAUGGUAGAAGUCAAUUAACGUGUCCCUCACUUGGGGUUUCUCAAGGUCAUCUAUGAACUGACUCUGUCUCAAAAAAAAAAAGAAAAAAAAGAAAAGAAAGAAUGAAAAAAAAAACUAGGACAUGGCUAACAGGAAUGGGGACAAAGAAUCUGCACUGAUGAGGAAACUGAAACAGAAAAUCCAGAGUAAAUUCCACCAGGCCACACAGCAAGGUCUGAUAGAGCCAGGAGAGACUUUAUGAAAUCCAGACUCUCACACUAAUGCUCUAUCAGCUAGACCUCCAUGUGAGUCUCCCCAAUGUAGGUAGGAAGUGCUUUCCC